GCUGUAGUGGCCGAGUGGUUAAGGCAUUGGAUUAGCAAUCCAAUGGGGUUUCCCCUCGCAGGUUCGAAUCCUGCUCACAGCA